rnacentral:lncRNA from 1 species
AAACCCAAACUCGAAUGAGUCAUAACUCGGGAUCUCGUCACCGAAACCCCAAAACUCACUGAGUCCACUCGACUCGGUCGAAAUUUGCACAAACUUAGCAUCUUCGCUCUUCAACUCCUCACUCGAAGACGACCAAGAAGGCGGGAGGCCGAGCUCGUCAUCUGAAGCUUCUAGAAGGAAACUUAUAUCCGGCUGGGACUCGCCCGAAUCCGACGUCAAAUCGACGACAGGCACCGGCCGGGGAGGAGACGCCGAUAUCUGUUCUUCAAAUAUUUUCAUAACGGAGGCCAGGUCAUGAGUAGCGGGAUCCUUGUCGGCAAGAGGAUCAGAGUCAUCGAGAAUACAGAGGAGGUCGUCGCGGAGCCUCUUAACCUCAGGCGAGUCCAACUCGAACUCGUCCGAGUCAUCACGAACUCGCUUUCUGGAAACGUAAUCUUCCAUGAGUACAGAAGAAAAAAGAAUCGAGCUAGGGGUUGAAACAGAGAUAACACGUAUUGGGUGUGUGGCGAUGAGAGGGUUGGAAGGAUAAGAAGUUUAUAUAAGGGAGACAAAGGAGAGAGAGAAAGCGAGGAGAGGGAGAGUAAUGAUGGGACGUUGUGCAGGCGCGUGGGAGCGAAUACUUAGGCCAUCACGGAC